rnacentral:rRNA from 1 species
GUACACGCUGUGACUAGCAUAUCAAUAAGCGGAGGAAAAGAAACUAACAAGGAUUCCCCUAGUAACGGCGAGUGAAGCGGGAAGAGCUCAAAUUUGAAAUCUUAAAGGGUUUCCCUUUACGAAUUGUAGUUUAAAGAAGUGUUUUCUGUUGAGGUUUUGGUAAAAGUUCUUUGGAAUAGGACAUCAUAGAGGGUGAGAAUCCCGUAUUUGACCUUUACUUUCAACUUUGUGAUACACUUUCAAAGAGUCGGAUUGUUUGGGAAUGCAGUCCAAAAUGGGUGGUAAAUUUCAUCUAAAGCUAAAUAUUGGCGAGAGACCGAUAGCGAACCAGUACCGUGAGGGAAAGAUGUAAAAGAACUUUGAAAAGAGAGUUAAACAGUACGUGAAAUUGUCAAAAGGGAAGCGUUUGACACCAGUGUUGUUUUUCUGAAAAUCAAUUAAAGAACUGUUUAUGCUAAGUUGUUUAGACUUUAUCAGCUAACUGUUUAGUUUUGAGCUUUUCUUUAAUGCACUUUUCAGUUAACAAGUCAACAUCAAUUGCUUUUGCUGUAAAAAAGCUUGAGGAAGGUGGCUUGAGAUUCGUCUUAAGUGUUUAUAGCCUCUUGCCUAUGCAGUCGGAGAGAUUGAGGUCUGCAGCGUAGAUCCUUCGGGGCUAAAUGCAUUUGUGCUAAGUUAUAGCAUUUUAUAGACAACUUGUUGACUAUGAUUUGUCUUGUAGCUUACUCGCUUAUGUUAUUUUACCUACGCUUAGGAUGUUGAGUCGUAGAGCACGCAG